rnacentral:rRNA from 1 species
UACGAAGGGGGCUAGCGUUGCUCGGAAUCACUGGGCGUAAAGGGUGCGUAGGCGGGUCUUUAAGUCAGGGGUGAAAUCCUGGAGCUCAACUCCAGAACUGCCUUUGAUACUGAGGAUCUUGAGUUCGGGAGAGGCGAGUGGAACUGCGAGUGUAGAGGUGAAAUUCGUAGAUAUUCGCAAGAACACCAGUGGCGAAGGCGGCUCACUGGCCCGAUACUGACGCUGAGGCACGAAAGCGUGGGUAGCAAACGGG